rnacentral:rRNA from 1 species
GACGAACGCUGGCGGCGUGCUUAACACAUGCAAGUCGAACGGAAAGGCCCUGCUUUUGUGGGGUGCUCGAGUGGCGAACGGGUGAGUAACACGUGAGUAACCUGCCCUUGACUUUGGGAUAACUUCAGGAAACUGGGGCUAAUACCGGAUAGGAGCUCCUGCUGCGUGGUGGGGGUUGGAAAGUUUCGGCGGUUGGGGAUGGACUCGCGGCUUAUCAGCUUGUUGGUGGGGUAGUGGCUUACCAAGGCUUUGACGGGUAGCCGGCCUGAGAGGGUGACCGGCCACCUUACGACUGCGAGACGGACCAGACUCCUACGGGAGGCAGCAGUGGGGAAUAUUGCACAAUGGGCCGAAGCCUGAUGCAGCAACGCCGCGUGCGGGAUGACGGCCUUCGGGUUGUAAACCGCUUUCGCCUGUGACGAAGCGUGAGUGACGGUACUGGGUAAAGAAGCACCGGCUAACUACGUG